CACGCAGUAAACGAUGAUUACUAGGAGUUUGCGAUAUACAGUAAGCGGCCAAGCGAAAGCAUUAAGUAUUCCACCUGGGGAGUACGCCGGCAACGGUGAAACUCAAAGGAAUUGACGGGGGCCCGCACAAGCGGAGGAACAUGUGGUUUAAUUCGAUGAUACGCGAGGAACCUUACCCGGGCUUGAAUUGCAGAGGAACAUAGUUGAAAGAUUAUGGCCGCAAGGUCUCUGUGAAGGUGC
rnacentral:rRNA from 1 species